rnacentral:misc_RNA from 1 species
AAUAAUGGUAGAGGGAGAGAAAAAGAGAAGGACAUGAAGAGAGAGAGUAAUAGAUAAGAAAGAACAAUUGAGAAGAUCAUAAAGAGAGUCUGUGUAUUAGAGAAUGACAUAUUGAAAGAAGAAUAGUACAUGAAGAGAAAGAAAGAAAUGAUAACAAGAAAGAGAGGACAUAUGGAGAGAAUAUAGCGCCUGAAGAGAAAGAGGUGGGUAAUAGUAGAGAAGGGAGAGUCUUACUGGAGAAAGAGAGAUUUUCAUAAAAUAUUAGUUUUAAUUUUGUAGAAUUCUUUGAAAGCAUUUGCAAAAUUUUCUUAUUUAUUAUAAUUUAUCAAAUGUUCAAAUCAUAAUAAAAAAUAGCACUAAUGUGUAAAAAAAAUGUACAUUUAGUAUUAUAUUAAUCUUAUAAACUUUUUAUAAUGUUCCUUUCACCUUGUAAUAUAAUAUUUG